rnacentral:rRNA from 1 species
GGAGGAUCCGAGCGUUAUCCGGAUUUAUUGGGUUUAAAGGGAGCGUAGGCCGGCUUUUAAGUCAGCUGUGAAAGUCCGCGGCUCAACCGUGGAAUUGCAGUUGAAACUGGAGGCCUUGAGUGCACACAGGGAUGCCGGAAUUCAUGGUGUAGCGGUGAAAUGCUUAGAUAUCAUGAAGAACUCCGAUCGCGAAGGCAAGUGUCCGGGGUGCAACUGACGCUGAGGCUCGAAAGCAUGGGUAGCGA